ACUGCACCUGCAAUAUAUGGAAAUUCCUGGGCCAGGGAUUGAAUCAGAGCUGAGACUGAGGCCUACACCACAGCCAUGGCAACACCAGAUCUGUACCGCAUCUGUAACGUAUGCCGCAACCUGAGGCAAUGCUGGAUCCAUAAUCCACUGAGCAAGGUCAGGUCUUGAACAUACAUCCUCACAGAGACAACAUCGGGUCUUUAACCCUCUGAGCCACAAUGGGAACUCCUGCAGUGACGUUAAAGAUUAGAGCUACUGGGAAUACAGAGAAUCAACUGUGUCAGCUUUUAGAAGUGUGAAAUGUGAAUCAGGACAGGGCAUGAGCCCACAGGGGCGGGUCAGGGCCCACCUGGCUGCAGAGGGCACCACUUCAGAAGAAUUUCUGUACCCAAUGGCUGUUUUUUUAUAGGAUCUGUAUACCCAGUGGGGAUGAAGGCUCAGGAGUCAGAUGAGAUAAUACAGGAGUCUGAACUGUCUUAAUUGGGUAAAUUAACUCUGGGUUUAAUCUCAGGUAUAAUAAUUCCCUUCUCCUCCUGCAUUUUUGGGAAGCUCCUCCUUUCAGACCUCCAAGAGAAAACACUAAUAGAAAUUCCUGCUGUGGCUCAGUGGAAACGAAUCUGACUAGUAGCCAUGAGGAUGCAGGUUCAAUCCCUGGCCUUGCUGAAUGGGUUAAGGAUCCAGUGUUGCCGUGAGCUGUGGUGUAGGUAGCAGACACGGCUUGGAUUCCAUGUUGCUGUGACUGUGGUGUAGGCCGGCAGCUGUAGCUCCAGUUUGACCCCUAGACUGGGAACCUCCAUAUGCCAAGGGUGUGGCCCUAACAAACAAACAAACAAACAACAAAAAACACCAACAGAGGAGUUACCGCUGGUGUCUGGGGAGUGCUGGAUUCAGGUUUGAUCCUGGGCCUGGCACCGUGGGUUAAGAAUAUGGCAUUGCCACAGCUGCAGCUUAGGUCACAACUGCAGCUCAGAUCUGAUCCCUGGCCUGGGAACUCCAUGUGCUGCAGGGUGGCCAAAAAAGAAAAAGAAGAAAAACAUUAGCAGAAAGCUUUCCAACAGGAAGACCUGAAGAAACACAAAGAUCUGUGAAAAUCUAGUUUUACUUUAGACUUGAUAGGAAAUGUUAUCAAAACGGGCUGUUAGCUGCCAAAAUGAAAGUGAAGGCUUUUCUUUCACCUCUGCUGCUACUGUCCACAAAGACCUCUUUUCUUUUCAUUAGACCUCUGAUGCCAACACGGUGCCAAACCUCCCCGUUCUGGCAUGCUUCCUCAUGCCACAAUUCAAACCCCGCCCUGAUGCAUCUGGUGAGCUUUAAAAACCCCUGAUGUUGGACCCCCCACUUCAAACCAAUCAAAUCAGAACUUCUGGGAGAAGGGACCAGAGUGUGGGUAUAUUUUCGAUGCCCCAGUGAUUUUCUAUAUGGGCCCCAAGUGACCGAGGUAGGCCUGGGACAGUGAUUUGCAAUCCUGGCUGCAAUGAAAUCGCUCUGGGACUUAAAUCUUAGGUGAAUUGAUUCAGAACUCCUUGGAGGUAGAGAAAGCCUGGGCAUUGGUAUAUAUAUUUUUUAAAAUCCUUGAGAUGCCUUGGCUAUGUGAGAUGCUACAGUUAUCCUGUAUUUGACAUUUUAAAAUAAAAUCUGCUGGAGAAAAGCAAGGAAGGAAGAGUGGAGAAAGAGUUGAUGCUAAAUAGGAAAGUGGAAAAAUAAUUGAGACUGGCCAUUGGGUAUCUUCAAAGAUCCUAGUUCUUUUUUUUGGGGGGGGGGUGUUUUUAGUACUGCACCUGUGGCAUGUGGAAGUUCCCAGCUAGGGACUGAAUUGCUGAAUUGGAACUACAGCUGCUGGCCUAUGCCACAGGCACAGCCAUGCAGGAUCUGAGCCACAAAUGGGACCUGCACCACAGCUCUUGGCAACGACAGAUCCUUAACCCACUAAGCAAGGCCAGGGAUGGAACCCACAUCCUCAUGGAUACUAGUUGGUUUCGUAACCCGCUGAGCCGUAAUAGGAACUCCAAAUCCAUUGAGUCUUGACCUGGGAAGGGAGGCGGGUGGACCACUGAGGGAAGCAGGUAGUUUGGGGGGCAGAUCUGGGGUUACAUUAUCACAGAUGAGGUGCCCUGGUGAGGUCUGCUACUGGCAGUUUGGCUGCUGCAGUGGCCAGAUCUUUGGGACUGAUAUCAGGACUCAGAGCAGGUCUUCAGUGACCACUGACACAGUGGUUCCUCUUCUUCAGGGCCCCCGUCUCUCAAACAGUAAGAGGUGGUAGCAGAGUGCAGAGUGGAUGCUUGCUCGUGUCUUGCACAGAUCGCCUUUACUGGGCUGGUGCAUUGAUCCUCUAGUUGCUAAGAGCUGGCUGCUAGUGGCUUACAGAUGCCUCCUUUUCCCAGAGAGCUGCCUUCUGCUAAAUAGUCACUCCCCUGAGAUGUCACACCCCCAUUUCUCUCCAUCCUGGCCAGGAGAGACAGCCCACAGACAAUGACUGAGUAGCAGGGGAGCUGAAGUCUGACUCCCUUGCCUCAGGAUGGGACCAAUUGCAGGGCAAUCUGUGUGCUCUGUCACAUCAAGGUAAAGCUAGAGUAAUUGCAGCCAAAUCCUUGCUUACAAUUCUCCUGCCCUCACUCAUCUGACUUCCCUCACUCCCCUUCUUCUUCUUCCUUAAGAAAUCCUU
rnacentral:lncRNA from 1 species